UACGUAGGGUCCGAGCGUUGUCCGGAAUCAUUGGGCGUAAAGAGCGUGUAGGCGGCUCGAUAAGUCUGCUGUGAAAGUCCAGGGCUCAACCCUGGAAGGCCGGUGGAAACUGUCGGGCUAGAGUCCGGAAGAGGCGAGUGGAAUUCCUGGUGUAGCGGUGAAAUGCGCAGAUAUCAGGAGGAAUACCGGAGGCGAAGGCGGAUAGCUGGGCCAACACUGACACUGAGACCCGAAAGCGUGGGGAUCAAACAGG
rnacentral:rRNA from 1 species